rnacentral:rRNA from 1 species
UCCUACGGGAGGCUGCAGUGGGGAAUAUUGCACAAUGGGCGAAAGCCUGAUGCAGCAACGCCGCGUGCGGGAUGACGGCCUUCGGGUUGUAAACCGCUUUCAGCAGGGACGAAGUGAAAAUGACGGUACCUGCAGAAGAAGCACCGGCUAACUACGUGCCAGCAGCCGCGGUGAUACGUAGGGUGCGAGCGUUGUCCGGAAUUAUUGGGCGUAAAGAGCUUGUAGGCGGUCUGUUGCGUCGGAAGUGAAAACUCAGGGCUUAACCCUGAGCCUGCUUUCGAUACGGGCAGACUUGAGGGAUGUAGGGGAGAACGGAAUUCCUGGUGGAGCGGUGGAAUGCGCAGAUAUCAGGAGGAACACCAGUGGCGAAGGCGGUUCUCUGGACAUUUCCUGACGCUGAGAAGCGAAAGCGUGGGGAGCAAACAGGAUUAGAUACCCCAGUAGUC